rnacentral:pre_miRNA from 1 species
GAAUAUCUCAUUUUUGUGAUUGGUGCAGUUUCGAGCAUCCAAAGAGAAUUGCAUAGUCACAAAAGUGAUGGUGUCG